GAAAUGAGGACCGGCUGAGUAGACCUAGCCCUUCAUUGAUCUCCAGAGAUUUGGCUAAUCUGGUUAGGCAGAUGUUUCUCAUGCAUUCUCAUCCCUGCAGAUGCACCCUUCCUAAAGCAGUAAAAGAAAAAAGAAAAAAAAAAUCAAUGGAAGAGAAUGACUUUCCCAGAGGCAGGAAUUUUGCUUUCAUCAGCUAAAGGCACAGCUGAGCUCUUGUUAGAACUUGCAAUCAAGAUUUCAAGAUUCAUGGGUACAGAACUACCUGACUAUGCCUUCUUUAAUCAAUAUUCUUUAUUCUCAAGAA
ensembl:misc_RNA 7SK 7SK RNA